rnacentral:rRNA from 1 species
CAAUAGCGUAUAUUUAAGUUGUUGCAGUUAAAAAGCUCGUAGUUGGAUUUCGGUUAAGAGCGACCGGUCCGCCGUUUGGUGUGCACUGGUUGGUUUUAACUUCCUGUAGAGGACGUGCUCUGGGUUUAACGACCUGGACUCGGAGUCUACGUGGUUACUUUGAAAAAAUUAGAGUGUUCAAAGCGGGCUUACGCUUGAAUAUUUCAGCAUGGAACAACACUAUAGGACUCCUGUCCUAUUUCGUUGGUCUCGGGACGGGAGUAAUGAUUAAGAGGAACAGUUGGGGGCAUUCGUAUUUCAUUGUCAGAGGUGAAAUUCUUGGAUUUAUGAAAGACGAACUUCUGCGAAANCANNNGCCAAGGAUGUUUUCAUNAA